CUCUUCCAGAGACAGCAAGAGAGGAUCCAGGAGGAGACCUCGGGAGCCGGGUCCUGUGCCCCUCCCCACCCCCCUGUGCCAGCCUCCGUCCCAGAGGGAGCCGAGGCCAAGGCCCGGGGUGAAGGAACCGGUCCUGCCCCCAGGUGGGGGUCCAGGAUGCAGCCCCCAAAGCAGACUGGAGCUGGGACCAGCUCCAGCACCCAGUGAACGAACCCACGUGCAGCACCCAGGCUGGGGGGCUGGUAACCCCACAUGAAAGGGGCAAGGGGCGAUGCCUCUAGGGCAGUGGGGGGAGGGGACUCGCUCUUAAGAGGCUGCUGUUCCAGGGGGGUCUGCCAGGGCGGCCAGGGGCUCCCAGGUUGACGACAGGGGUAGACAGGGGCUGAAGGCGGCUGGAUGGGGAAUUGAGGACCUGAACUUCUGGCAAAGGGAGCUUCAGGCCAGGUGCCCCAGAGCCAGGAGCGGAUAGUGGGUAGAGGGGGCCCCCUUUCCAGCGAUGGGAGCCCAGGAGCCAGCCCCCUCCCCCCCCGAUAGGAGCCAGGUCCCCCUGGAUGGGAGCAGGAGCCGCCCGUAGCGAGAUGCUCUGGGCAGCGUGUUCCUGGGCCACGUCUGCUCAACUCCUGAGCCGGUGAGUUCCGCAGGGCUGCGACGCCCGGCCUGGCCUCCCCGGUUCUGAGGCUGCAGAGAGCUCGUGUAUAACCCAUGCACAGAUACUAAACCCACAAUAAACCCCGUCUCCUCCCUG